GUGCCAGCCCCAGAUAGCUCAGGUUUCUUAAGGAUGAAGAAUAUCAAGCAGAAAAUCCUGACGACAUCCCCCAACCCCAAUUCCUGCUCAUGCUUAUGGAGUUGCUUCCUCUUUGAGUUUAACAGUCCCACCAGUUAUUCAGGAUUUCAUCAAGUGCCAAUUCCGUCAUGAAACUCAGCUUGCAGGCUCCGAGUGGAAAGCAUGCAGUGGGAGUCUUAGAACAAAGGAGCUGGGAAGGCUUAGAGCCGUUACCAAACCCCACCUUGCUGCAGCUGAAGCAAGCUAACUGGCUGACCAACAAACAUCUGCCCACAAGUCCCACUCGCCCACCAAACCCUGAUCCCCACAGCUCUUAAGCUCUCUUGACGCUCAUCUG